AUCUCCUUGUCUUUCUCCCAUUCCUCUUUUCUUGUCUUUCACCAAACAAAAAAAAAAAUUACAGAACUUUCCGGGGAACAUACAUAGCAACUGCUUUAGGUUUGUAGGUAAAUUGAAAUGGAUCCUCCUCCUUCCACAUACUUUCCUUUGAGAUGGAAGAGCACAGGAGAUGAAUUGUGAUUUGCUUCAAUGGCCACUACGAUUUAGUGAGGGAGCUUCUUUACAUUGACACCAAUCUUCUCAUCAAAUUAACCUCCCUCCCAAGAAUCUUCCGGCUCGAGAUUGUCUGGACGUCAGCUUCGACGACAAAUUUAGAUUUAAAUUUCGAGAAAAUUGAUUUUUCAUAGGCUUAUUUCUUGCUGGAUGUGAUCGUGAGAGGGUGAAAGCGGUGGCCUUUGUCGAAAUUGAAGGCGGAGGCGGUUGCCGAAAAUUGAGGGAGGAGGCGGUGGAAGAUUUGGGGAUCUAAGGUUUCAAAGAAAGAUUAGGGACGUGAAUCAUAGAACGAGAAGCAAGGAGGCUCUGGGCGACGGUGGCAUCCGCACCGUUGCUGUUUGCCGAAAAUCUGAAAGGGGUGGUGGCGGUGGAUUUGGAAGAAGGGUGGGGCGGUGUCUCUUUGUGUGCGUGCGUGUUCUGGAUCGUGAGAGAGAAAGGUUUUAAUGGAGAAAAGAAAAGGUGCCGGUGGUGGUGGUGAUUGAAGCGGCGGCGACGACUCUCGCCGGAAUAGAAGAAGGCAGCUGUGUAGAUUUAGGAAGAAGAAGAGGGUUUUUCUUGGGGCUAUACACGCAUAUUCAAUUCAAUUGAAAAGAUAAUUAUAUUUCAUUUAAGGGCUAUAGUUUAGAGGUUAAUUUAGUAAAUUUAUAAUUAGUUAUUAUUAUUA